rnacentral:misc_RNA from 1 species
UUUCCGUAGGUGAACCUGCGGAAGGAUCAUUAAAAAAUUGGACUCCAUUGGUGAGUUCAUUAAUAAUCCCUACCCUUUGUGAAUUUGUUUGUUUGAAUAAUUUUUUUUCCAAAAAAAAUUAUUGAAUGUCUUUCCUUGUUUUGGUGGAGCUUGUAAAGUGAAACCAGGCGGGGGAAUGGCAAACAAUAAUUAUUUUUGAAAAAGACCUUUUUUUAAAAUUAAACUUUUUGUAUUCAUUUGUCUAAAAUUAAUUUUUAUAAUAUAAAAACAACUUUUGACAAUGGAUCUCUUGGUUCUCGCAACGAUGAAGAACGCAGCAAAAUGCGAUAAGUAGUGUGAAUUGCAGAAUACGUGAAUCAUCGAAUCUUCGAACGCAUAUUGCACUUUUUUAGUUUACUAAAAAAGUAUGUCUGUUUGAGUAUCAGUAAAAUAUUCUCAUAAAAAACAUUGUUUUUUUUAUGGUUAUGAGUGUUUUACAACGAUAACAAGUUGUUUCACUUUAAAUUCUUUGUUAUCAAAAAAAUCAUUAAAAGCUAAUUUUAAAGAUUUUUAAAAUUGGAUAAAAUUUUCCCGUAAAAAGGAAUAACCUAAACAAUUUUAAAAAAUUAAAAUUGGUUUGAUUUUUUUUGAAACCCAAAGGAAAAAAAAACGAAAUUAACUUGAUCUCAAAUCAGAUAAGAGUACCCGCUGAACUUAAGCAUAUCAAUAAGCGGAGGAAAAGAAACUAACUAGGAUUCCCUCAGUAACGGCGAGUGAAGCGGGAAGAGCUCAAAUUUGAAAUCUUCAAGGUUUUACCUUGACGAAUUGUAGUUUAAAGAAGUGUUUUCUGUUGGAGUUUUGGUAAAAGUUCUUUGGAAAAGGACAUCAUAGAGGGUGAGAAUCCCGUAUUUGACCAUUAUCUCCAGCUUUGUGAUACACUUUCAAAGAGUCGGAUUGUUUGGGAAUGCAGUCCAAAAUGGGUGGUAAAUUUCAUCUAAAGCUAAAUACUGGCGAGAGACCGAUAGCGAACAAGUACCGUGAGGGAAAGAUGAAAAGAACUUUGAAAAGAGAGUUAAACAGUACGUGAAAUUGUCAAAAGGGAAGCGUUUGACACCAGUGUUGUUUUCUCGAAAAUCAAUUAAAAAAGGCCGGAUCUUGUGUUGUAUUGACUUUAUCAGCUUCUGCACUCUUUUCUUGUCUUUUUUAAUGCGCUUUUCAUUUAACAAGUCAACAUCAAUUUCUUUUGUUGUAAAAGGGUCAUUGGAAGGUGGCUUUCUUUUCGGAGAAAGUGUUUAUAGCCUUUGGCCUCUGCAAUCGGAGAGAUUGAGGUCUGCAGCGUAGAUCCUUCGGGGUUAGAUACAUUUGUGCUAAGUUGUAGCCUUUCAUAGACAACUUGUUGACUAUGAUCAGUCAUGUAGCUUACUCGCUUAUGCUAUUU